rnacentral:misc_RNA from 1 species
GAAAAAAGAAAAAAAAAAAAGAGAACCCACAAAUACUAGAAGACUGACUUUUGUUGUGAUAUAUUAGAAUGGGCAAAAUGGAUUCACUUAUUGCUUUUCUUUUAGUUAUGCAAUUUGCUUUCAUCUAUCAGAAUUCUUACAUGGGAUUUUCUUAUUAGCAAUGGCCACAACAAAAUUGGGAGAGCAGAAGGAAGAAAUAUUGGAAGAGUUGAAGAAAGAGAAUUCGAGAAAAAUUAUCCUUGAGGGGGACACUGGAGUGGGUAAAACAUGGAUGGCAAGAGAGAUACAAAAAAUAGCAAUCAGAGAUGGCAUAUGCUAUGCAAGUCUUUGGGUAUCCCUAAAUAUAAAAUAUGAUGACAGGUCAUUUUAUGAGAACAUAGCUUGUCAGUUAGCUGUAUUUUCUGCUACUGAGGAAUGGGAAGAUGAUGACAAUAAUGAGAAGGAUGAGCAGACGCUCGACAGCUUGAAGCAAAGUAUUUUAACAAAGCUUGAAGUACAGAGAUCAGAAAAUCAUCGAAAUAACAAAUGUCUUCUGCUGAUUUUGGAUGAUGAGGGAAAAAAGAUGAAAGAAGACUGGAUUAUGUCAAAACUGCAUCCUGUAAUUCCUGAGAUUGACCGAAAAACAUUGAAAGUCGUAAUUUCUGGAAGGCAAAGCUAUGAUGGCCAAAUUAUUGAUGACACUGCCGCAGUAAUUACUGUUGAACCCAAGGUAAUUAAGGUUGAAUCUUUAUCCGAAGGCGAGUCCUUGACUUUAUUGCAAAGUAGAGUUGACAAAAAAGUUGCUGAAGUAUAUGACACAUUGCCACACAGUGUAGAUUGCUUUUGGCAUAGCAGGCAAUUCUUCUCCAAAUAUGGUGCUGUGCAUUACAAUGAGUUGAUCACUCACUGGCUAAUUGAAGGCUUUUUAGGUCCUUUUAAUCAUGUGGAGGCGGCUUAUGAGGAUGGACACCAAAUUUUGAUGGAGUUUAUAAAUCGUGGCAUUUUAAAAAUUCAAGAGGAUAAUAUUGUUGUCAUGGAAGGAUCAAUGCUGAAUUUGGUUGAUCAACGUAAUCUUGGAUUUGUUGGGACAGCUAGAGUUGGACUUGCUAGUGUGCUUGAGGAUGAUGAGUGGGAAGGUCUUGGGAGAAUCACACAUACUGAUGGAAUGAUAAAAACACUGCAUAGUGGUAAAAAAGGAGAAAAGAUUUACACUUUAAUGAUUGACGGAAGUCGUCUCUCCAGGGAAGUCCCUGAAAUGUUCUUUCAGCACCUGCUUGAACUAAAAGUCCUUGUGUUUUUUGGUCCCAGAUUUAAGCUGCUUCCCUCAUCUUUAUCUAAAAUGGACAAUCUACGUAUUCUUGUUCUCAGGGGCUGUGAUCUACUGGAGGACAUCAGCUACAUCAAAGAACUCAAAACUUUGAGUGCUCUUGAGAUAUCCAAUGCUAGUGCUUUAAAAACAAUCCCAGACAACCUAUUUGAGCAAAUGUCUCACCUUCGAAGUCUUAACCUAUCUGCACUCAGCAUCAAAUCAUUACCCUCUAUUUUGAACUUGAAGGAACUUCGUUGGCUCAUUCUAAGACAGUGUUCUCGCUUGCAAGAUUUGCCAAAACUGCAAGCAUUUACAAAUCUUGAAGUGCUUGAUCUCUGUGGCGCUACCUCUUUCAAAAGGUUCCAGGACAAAAACUUUGCCCCCCUUCAGAAACUUCAGACCCUUGACCUUUCCAAUACUAAAGUUGAACGCCUACCCAUAUUUCAAGAUCGUGAAAAAUUCCCAUCUCUUAAAAACCUCAAGCGGCUAUUAUUAAACUGUUGUGAUCAUUUAACUAGACUGCCCAGUCUGAAACCAUUAUCUGGUCUCCAAAUUCUUGAUCUUUCCGGUUCUGUUAUGUUGAAGGAAAUCAAUGAAGAAUCGUUUGAAGAAAAGGACAACCUUAAAACUCUCAAUCUAUCUGGAACUUCUAUAAUCCAAUUGUCUUUUGACAAUUUGGACAUCUGUGAUCUCAACUUGACAGGUUGUUCUGGCCUGGAAGAACUGCCUUGCACAGAAACACUCAAAGACCUUAAGCGGCUUGAUCUUUCUGAUGCCUCUAGUUUGGUCAGAAUCAAAGACAACUCCUUUGAGCAUCUGAAACUCCUGAGCUAUCUCAACCUCUCAAAUACGAAAGUUACAGCUCUGCCUUCAGUUUCCAACCUCCACAACCUUCGUGAGCUUUUACUAAGGAAUUGUUCAUGCAUUGAGAAACUGCAAAACAUUGAAGGACUUAUAAGGCUUGAGGUUCUUGAUCUUUCAGGUUGCAGAUCUUUGAUAGCAAUAGAAGGUGAACCCUUCAAGCUGAUGUCUAGGCUUCAGACGCUCAACCUUUCUGAAACUAAAAUUAAAUGUCUACCAUCUCUUCAGAAUCCAAGCAACCUCUGUCAUCUUGUAUUGAGAAACUGUACCAACCUCCAAAAGCUUCCACCAUUGGAAUCCUUAUCAAAACUUGAGGUGCUUGAUCUUUCUGGUUCCAGCUCUUUGACUGAAAUCAAAGCUGAAUUCCUUGAACGUUUAACAAGCCUGGAAAUUCUUGAUCUAUCUGAAAUCAAGGUCGAGGGGGUUUUAACCAUGUCCAGUCUUUCCAAUUUAAUCAAUCUCAAUCAACUUUCACUGAAAGGUUGCUCAACCUUAGAAGCAGAACCACGUCUGGAAGUUUUUACGAAACUUGAGGUUCUGGAUCUCUCUAGAACAACUGUUAAGUCUCUUCCAUCUUUGGAAAAACUUAGUGGCCUCUGCAAACUUUUGCUUAAAGAUUGUUCAGAAAUAGAAAAGUUGCCAUCCCUGAAAUCACUCAGCCAUCUGCAGGUUCUUGAUCUAUCUGGAACCAAAAUCAAGGAACUUCCUGAUGGGAUUUCAGAGUUGACUUGUUUAAAUCACCUUGAUAUUCCAGACUUGAAGAUCAUUGAAGAAGUUGGUUGGGAAAAUAUAAAGCGCAUACCGGAGGAACUAAGCUGGGAUCAAUGCAGUAUUUCUGAGCCAGUUGAAAUUAGUUUGGAUGGUAAGAAGAAGCCUUCCAUACUGGUGAAUGGUACCAAAUUUUUCCGAUUUUUGAAGGAAAAUUCCAAGUUAGGGGAGGUUUGUUUGAAGCAGAUGUUUUUCACAGUUUGUCCUAUGAAGCAAGGUGGUGAUCCUAAUAUUUAUCCUCCCAAAGAUGAACUAAUUGACAACAUCUACUUCCAGCUUAGGCAUUUUUCUGGUCCUAAAGAGGAGGUACGGACAAUGGAAAUUCAUGGAUUUGAUGAGUUUCCCACUGGUCUUGAGGACGUUCUCAAGGAUGUAGAAUACAUUUCUUUCGUUGAAAAUACAUUUAUGACUUGUUUGUCAGAUUUUGGAGUUGGCAACUUGAAGAAGAUGAGGGGUUGUUGGCUAGAGAGAUGUUCUAAAUUGAGGAGCAUUCUUUUCAGUGGAACAGAUGUUCUGCUGGGGGAGAAUAUGGAGAUUUUGUGGGUGUCAAGCCUCCCUCAUUUGCAAAGUCUAUGCAGUGAGAAGGUGAACUUGAAUAAUCUUCAGCACUUGAAUAUAGAGUGUUGUCCAAUGCUAGAAAAUGUUUUCGCUUUGCCACCACUGCUGGAGAACCUCAAAAUACUCCAGAUUAAAUUUUGUGAUAAUGUGAAGACUCUAUUCAAGUUUAAUGAGUCGAGUAAGUGUGUUGUUCAGAAAUUGCACACUGUGAGAUUGUUAGAACUGCCUGAGCUGACAAGCAUAGGGGCUGUUUUGCCUUCUCUAGAUAUUUUUGAUCCUAGAGAAUGCCCAAAGCUGGAGGACUCGAAAGAAAGUCUCAAAAUAGGGACCGCAUCUCCUUAAAUUGCAGAAGCUAUCAUAUAACGGCCAUCUCUGCUACUUCUGUAGUUGUGGGAACAUCUGAACCAAGAAGCUUCCCAUAGUGUGAUGGAAGUUACCAGCAGAAGUUAAAUGGUUCCUGGCAUGCUUGAGGUUGGAACUCUAUCUUGAUUUGUCACGGUACUCAUUGUCCUUGCUGAUGACUUACACAGAGAGAGAGAGAGAGAG